rnacentral:RNase_P_RNA from 1 species
GGCAGCCGCUGGCAACUGUCAGAGGAAAGUCCAUGCUCGCACAGUCUGAGAUGACUGUAGUGUUUGUGCUGGUCCAAUCAAUAAGGCCAGGCACCGGAAACGGUGACGGCGGAGCGGAAACCUAAAGAGAAAUCCAUGGUCAAUGCCCUUAAGGUGUCACAGUGACGCAGCUCUGAGGGAAACUUCAGAGGUGGAACGAGAUAAACCCCUCAAGCGAGAAACCCAAAUUUGGUAGGGGAACUGCUGAAGGUGAAAUGAAACCGGAUGCGGGUACUUCGGUACAGAUAAAUGGCUGCCGCUUCCAUCAUGGAAGAACAGAACAUGGCUUAU